rnacentral:rRNA from 1 species
UACGGGGGGGGCAAGCGUUGUUCGGAAUUACUGGGCGUAAAGGGCUCGUAGGUGGCCAACUAAGUCAGACGUGAAAUCCCUCGGCUUAACCGGGGAACUGCGUCUGAUACUGGAUGGCUUGAGUUCGGGAGAGGGAUGCGGAAUUCCAGGUGUAGCGGUGAAAUGCGUAGAUAUCGAGAGGAACACCUGCGGCGAAGGCGGGUUGCUGGGCUGACACUGACGCUGACAGCGCGAAAGCUAGGGGAGCGAACGGG